UACGAAGGGGGCUAGCGUUGCUCGGAAUCACUGGGCGUAAAGGGUGCGUCGGCGGGUCUUUAAGUCAGGGGUGAAAUCCUGGAGCUCAACUCCAGAACUGCCUUUGAUACUGAAGAUCUUGAGUUCGGGAGAGGUGAGUGGAACUGCGAGUGUAGAGGCGAAAUUCGUAGAUAUUCGCAAGAACACCAGUGGCGAAGGCGGCUCACUGGCCCGAUACUGACGCUGAGGCACGAAAGCGUGGGGAGCAAACAGG
rnacentral:rRNA from 1 species